CCAAUAGCUCCAUGGAGAGCAACUAACGCCGUGAAUUUCUCCGUUACUCUGCCGGUUCAGCUACAUGGAGAGCAACUAACGCCGUUAAUUUCUCAACUCUGCCGGUUUUGCUCCAAGGAGAGCAACUAACGCCGUUAAUUUCUCCGUUACUCCGCCGGUUCUGCUCCAUGGAGAGCAACUAACGCCGUUAAUUUCUCCGUUACUCUGCCGGUUCAGCUCCAUGGAGAUAAACUAAAGCCGUUAACUUCUCCGUUACUCUGCCGAUUUUGCUCCAUGGAGAGCAACUAACGCUGUUAAUUUCUCCGUUUAUCUGCCGGUUUUGCUUCUUCCUACGAAUUGUUCGAUACUUCUGCUGGUAGGAAUUAGCCUUGCCUGUGCUGGUCGGAGGUUGCAGGUACAUGAUAAAAUGGUCCAGAACGUCACCUGGAUAAAAGAAGUGUGCUAUUUUAGAAGAUAGUCUGUAAUUGCGGCAGUACAAUCAGGAUUCAUACUUAAAACUUCUCAUAACCUUGAGCAUGGAUCAUCGAGACCAGGAAGAAACACUUGGAAUUGCUUUAGCUGCAUGAAGGUGGCUGAGG